GGCUAUUUUGCAUGUGGGGCCACUGAGAGAGCUCUCGCAGUUGGAAGCACUGUCCUGCAUUUUCCUUGUUUGCAAUUUUUCUCAGAGCCAGCAUACAGCUCUGCAGAGGACACUGUGGCUCCUGGUGUCAGGGGAAACCAGCAGCUCCUGCAGGACAGAACAGUUUUUACUGUGAACUCCUUGAGGCCUGGCAGCCCUGGGGGACGGCAGGGGCUGCUCUUUCCACUGGAUGGCUGAAGAACACGGACGGAGAAAGGGCUGUCUUUAUUCUUCCCAGGUCACGCUCGGCAGUGGGAUGGACCAUGGUUCAGAUCACCGGUUCUGAUCCGCUUCUUCCACACUCACACAGGAAGUUUCUAUGCUUUCCACCUCUGCAGUGGCCCCAUAGUCUUCUAGAGACCUACCAGAGCCUCUAAUAAAUCCCAGAUUGUAACUUUUAUUUUUUAUGUAUAAUAAGUUGUUGUUCUCAAUGAAGAUACCAGAAAAAACUUAAGUUUUGUUC
rnacentral:lncRNA from 1 species